rnacentral:rRNA from 1 species
GAUGAACGCUGGCGGCGUGCCUAAUACAUGCAAGUCGAGCGAACAGACGAGGAGCUUGCUCCUCUGACGUUAGCGGCGGACGGGUGAGUAACACGUGGAUAACCUACCUAUAAGACUGGGAUAACUUCGGGAAACCGGAGCUAAUACCGGAUAAUAUAUUGAACCGCAUGGUUCAAUAGUGAAAGACGGUUUUGCUGUCACUUAUAGAUGGAUCCGCGCCGCAUUAGCUAGUUGGUAAGGUAACGGCUUACCAAGGCAACGAUGGGUAGCCGACCUGAGAGGGUGAUCGGCCACCCUGGAACUGAGGAACGUCCCACACUCCGGCGGUAGGAAGCAGUAGGGAAUCUUCCGCGAUGGGCGAGAGCCGAACGGAGCAACGCCGCGGGAGGGAUGAAGGUCUUCGGAUCGUAAAGCUCUGUUAUUAGGGAAGAACAAAUGUGUAAGUAACUAUGCUCAUCUUGACAGUACCUAAUCAGAAAGCCACGGCUAACUACGUG